UGUAGAGUGCCACUGCUGCCUCCUCACCACAGUAUCAGCAGGAUGAAUCUCUGGUGCCUCUGGCAGCUCCCAAGCCCUUGUCAGCAGUACCAGACCAUGUGGGUACCUGAGAAGUGUUAGCAACUCCCAGUGAAACGCCCAGUGGAUUCUUGCUGCCAUCCUGAGUAGGGUCAGAUCAAGCUGGUGACACGGGAUCAGACUCUUCAGCUGCCUUCUGCUCCCUGUAAAACCCGUUCUGACCCACAUGGGAGACAGGUAGCCAUUAAGUGGAGGCCUUACACUGUUAAUUAGUUCUGCUGAUAAACAGAAGACUUUAGUUUGAAGGAACAGCAUCAACAGACCUUGUGACUUGAAUUACCUUGCUUUACACAGCAGCAUGAACAGCCUGGUAGGUAUAAUCC